UACGUAGGGUGCAAGCGUUGUCCGGAAUUAUUGGGCGUAAAGAGCUCGUAGGCGGUUUGUUGCGUCGGCUGUGAAAUCCCGAGGCUCAACCUCGGGUCUGCAGUCGAUACGAGCAAACUAGAGUGUUGCAGGGGAGACUGGAAUUCCUGGUGUAGCGGUGAAAUGCGCAGAUAUCGGGAGGAACACCAGUGGCGAAGGCGGCCACCUGGCCAGAUACUGACGCUGAGACGCGAAAGCGUGGGGAGCAAACAGG
rnacentral:rRNA from 1 species